ACAAGCGGUGGAUGAUGUGGAUUAAUUCGAUGCAACGCGAAGAACCUUACUACCCUUGACAUGUCCGGAACUUGCCAGAGAUGGCUUGGUGCCCGAAAGGGAACCGGAACACAGGUGCUGCAUGGCUGUCGUCAGCUCGUGUCGUGAGAUGUUGGGUUAAGUCCCGCAACGAGCGCAACCCUUGUCCUUAGUUGCUACGCAAGAGCACUCUAAGGAGACUGCCGGUGACAAACCGGAGGAAGGUGAGGAUGACGUCAAGUCCUCAUGGCCCUUAUGGGUAGGGCUUCACACGUCAUACAAUGGUCGGUACAGAGGGUUGCCAAGCCGCGAGGUGGAGCCAAUCCCACAAAGCCGAUCGUAGUCCGGAUUGUUCUCUGCAACUCGAGAGCAUGAAGUCGGAAUCGCUAGUAAUCGCGGAUCAGCAUGUCGCGGUGAAUACGUUCCCGGGUCUU
rnacentral:rRNA from 1 species